GGAGAUAUAGCUCAGUUGGUAGAGUGCUUGCCUUGCAUGCACAAGGCCUGGGUUCAAUCCCUAGCACCACCA
rnacentral:tRNA from 1 species